UAAGCGGAGGAAAAGAAACUAACAAGGAUUCCCCUAGUAACUGCGAGUGAAGCGGGAUGAGCUCAAAUUUAAAAUCUGGCAGUUUUUAACUGUCCGAAUUGUAAUCUAGAGAAGUGUUAUCUGUGCUGGACCAUGUACAAGUCUCCUGGAACGGAGCGUCACAGAGGGUGAUAAUCCCGUAUCUGACAUGGACUGCCAGUGCUUUGUGAUAUGCUCUCAAAGAGUCGAGUUGUUUGGGAAUGCAGCUCUAAAUGGGUGGUAAAUUCCAUCUAAAGCUAAAUAUUGGCAAGAGACCGAUAGCGAACAAGUACCGUGAGGGAAAGAUGAAAAGAACUUUGGAAAGAGAGUUAAACAGUACGUGAAAUUGUUGAAAGGGAAACGCUUGAAGUCAGCUACAUUGGUUAGAGAUCAAUCUUGCUUUUUUAGCUUGAUGUAUUUUCUGAUUCAAUGGGUCAGCAUCAAUUUUAACUGAUGGAAAAAGGCUGAAUGAAUGUAGCAUCUUUUUUAGAUGUGUUAUAGCUUUUGGUCAUAUACAUUGGUUGAGAUUGAGGAAUUCAGCAUGCCGUAAGGUUGGAUUUUAUCACAUUCGUGCUUAGGAUGCUGGCAUAAUGGCUUUAAUCGACCCGUCU
rnacentral:rRNA from 1 species